AAAAAAGGUAAAUGAAACUUGAGGAGGAGGAAAAGAAAAAGAGUUGACGACGUUAACAGGAAGGAAAAAUAUAAAAUUCACUAUCAUACGUGGACCAAUUAGAUUAGCGGGGCAGGAGUAAGAGCAAGCAGAGGAUUUCAGUUCCCUUGCAUCGCCAAACAUUUACUAACCACACCAUAUCUUUUUUACACUCAGGAUUAAGGUGUAGGGCCUGUAUCCUACAGGGUCUUUCAGAGGGGAGCCCC
rnacentral:lncRNA from 1 species